GGCGGCGAGAUGGGGCCAAGGUAGGAGAUUAGCCAGCUGGGGAGUUGGGCGCGGCUUCUGCUCGACCGGAUGGACGCGAUAGCUGAGGAGGACCAACAGGACGAGGAUAAGACGCUCGAGGAGGUGGCCGGAGGAGGACGGCAUGCAGGGAGAAAGGAAAGCAGAACGCCGCCCACGGCUCCGUCGACCUCUCUCUUGGCUACUCCACGCUGUCCCCAACUCAUAAGGCAAGGCAAAUGGGUCCCCGGAAGCAGCUACACGGACUGCACUUGCUAGCUCCCAGACAAGGGUUGUAGUUUGUCAAUCCGUGAGGACCUCAACAAGUAUGCUGAACAGACGGUUAACUACUGUGCCACGGCUUCAAACAGUAGUCUGCAUGAUUCAUUGGUUUCAUCGGUGAACCUUGUGAACAAGAAGGAACAUCAACUUCUACAACUGGAGAACAAGCUGGACUAUGUAUGUUCACAAUGGUCAGAGUACAAAGGGAAGCACAUAUCUCAUGAUAAAAGACUUGAAGACAGAAACUGCAAAUCUAGGAAAUACCGUACACUUUUAUGGUUCAGGCUAAUAUUGUAUGUAACUAGAUUACUGAUUCCCACCCUCUAGUGUAAAGGUUAUAUAUGGUGUAAUCCGGUCUUUCAUUCUAUAACUAAAUUCAGAUUCAUCAUAAUAUGAAGGUUACACACAGGGAUUUCAUAAUCGCAA